GAUGAACGCUGGCGGCAUGCCUAAUACAUGCAAGUCGAACGAGAGGAAGGAAAGCUUGCUUUUCUGAAUCUAGUGGCGAACGGGUGAGUAACACGUAGGUAACCUGCCCAUGUGCCCGGGAUAACUUCUGGAAACGGAUGCUAAAACCGGAUAGGUAGCAGACAAGCAUUUGACUGCUAUUAAAGUGGCUAAGGCCAUGAACAUGGAUGGACCUGCGGUGCAUUAGCUAGUUGGUGAGGUAACGGCCCACCAAGGCGACGAUGCAUAGCCGGCCUGAGAGGGCGGACGGCCACAUAGGGACUGAGACACAGCCCAAACUCCUACGGGAGGCAGCAGUAGGGAAUUUUCGUCAAUGGGGGGAACCCUGAACGAGCAAUGACGCGUGAGUGAGGAAGGUCUUCGGAUCGUAAAGCUCUGUUGUAAGAGAAAAACGACAUUCAUAGGGAAUGAUGAGUGAGUGAUGGUAUCUUACCAGAAAGUCACGGCUAACUACGUGCCAGCCGCCGCAGUAAGAC
rnacentral:rRNA from 1 species